rnacentral:rRNA from 1 species
CGGGCGUACUGAGACAGGUGGUGCAUGGUUGUCGUCAGCUCGUGUCGUGAGAUGCUUGGGUUAAGUCCCGCAACGAGCGCAACCCUUGUGAUCAGUUACUAACGGGUAAAGCCGAGGACUCUGAUAAGACUGCCGGGGACAACUCGGAGGAAGGUGGGGACGACGUCAAAUCAUCAUGCCCCUUAUGACCUGGGCUACACACGUGCUACAAUGGCCACUACAGAGAGCCGCGAAAUCGUAAGGUGGAGCUAAUCUCAUAAAAGUGGUCCCAGUUCGGAUUGUGGGCUGCAACCCGCCCACAUGAAGUCGGAGUUGCUAGUAAUCGCGGAUCAGCAUGCCGCGGUGAAUACGUUCCCGGGCCUUGUACACACCGCCCGUCACACCAUGGGAGUUGAUAGCACCCGAAGUCGGUGAGGCAACCGCAAGGAGCCAGCCGCCGAAGGUGAGAUCAAUGACUGGGGUGAAGUCGUAACAAGGUAGCCGUAUCGGAAGGUGCGGCU